UACGUAGGGUGCAAGCGUUAAUCGGAAUUACUGGGCGUAAAGCGUGCGCAGGCGGUUAUGCAAGACAGAUGUGAAAUCCCCGGGCUUAACCUGGGAACCGCAUUUGUGACUGCAUAGCUGGAGUACGGCAGAGGGGGAUGGAAUUCCGCGUGUAGCAGUGAAAUGCGUAGAUAUCUGUAGGAAUACCGGUGGCGAAGGCGGCAUCCUGGACCGGCAUUGACGCUGAUGAGCGAAAGCUAGGGGAGCAAACGGG
rnacentral:rRNA from 1 species